rnacentral:tRNA from 1 species
CAGGAUGUAGCUCAGCGGGAGAGUGCUCGGUCGGGAACCGAGAGGCCGUGGGUUCGAUCCCCACCAUCCUGACCA